CCAGACUCCUACGGGAGGCAGCAGUGGGGAAUAUUGCACAAUGGGCGAAAGCCUGAUGCAGCAACGCCGCGUGAAGGAAGACGGUUUUCGGAUUGUAAACUUCUGUUCUUAGUGAAGAAUAAUGACGGUAACUAAGGAGCAAGCCACGGCUAACUACGUGCCAGCAGCCGCGGUAAUACGUAGGUGGCAAGCGUUAUCCGGAUUUAUUGGGUUUAAAGGGUGCGCAGGCGGAGGUGCAAGUCAGCGGUCAAAUUGCGGGGCUCAACCCCGUACUGCCGUUGAAACUGCAUCCCUUGAGUGCGCGAGAAGUAUGCGGAAUGCGUGGUGUAGCGGUGAAAUGCAUAGAUAUCACGCAGAACUCCGAUUGCGAAGGCAGCAUACCGGCGCGCAACUGACGCUCAUGCACGAAAGUGUGGGUAUCGAACAGGAUUAGAUACCCGGGUA
rnacentral:rRNA from 1 species